rnacentral:rRNA from 1 species
CUUGUAGUUCUAGAUAAAUAGGGAGUCGGACCUGCCCGGUGAAGUUUUUUAACGGCCGCGGUACUCUGACCGUGCAAAGGUAGCAUAAUCAUUUGCCUUAUAAUUGAAGGCUGGUAUGAAUGGUUUGACAAGAAUAAAGCUGUCUCUUUAUAAUUUGAUAGAACUUUAUUUUUAGGUGAAAAAGCCUUAAUUUGAUUAAUAGACAAGAAGACCCUAUCGAGCUUUAGAUAACCUAGUAGGCUAGAUAAAAUCUUAUUAGUUAAAAGGAUAAACUACUAGAUACUUUGGUUGGGGCGACUGAGGAACAUGGAAAGCUUCCUAUAAAUGUAGUUAAACAUACGGGUGUUGAUCCGAACAUAUUGAUUAAAGGAAUUAGUUACCGUAGGGAUAACAGCAUUAUCUUUUUUGAGAGUUCUUAUCGAAAAAAAGGUUUGUGACCUCGAUGUUGGACCAGAAUGUCCUAAAGAUGCAGAAGUCUUUAAGGGUUGGUCUGUUCGACCAUUAAAAUUCUA